rnacentral:ncRNA from 2 species
CGACCCCGCUCGGGAGAGUCCCCGCACCGUUGCACGUGGUGUCACGGGGACGCCGAAGGAGCAAACCCUCCCCGGAAUCUCUCAGGCAUCCGUACCGUGCGGGGUAG